AGUUCUAUAGGUCUCUGUCCGAAAUGAAAGGUAUUUUAGUUCUCAAUCAAAGCUCCGAAGUAUGCCUCUUCAAAACUGCCAUCUUGGGCAAGAUUAUUCAAGAAACUUCUCAGGACCAGAGGCAAUGUCAUCCCGAACUGGGAAGACUGGAAGCUGCUUGUCAUGGGCCAUCACCCUGACUGCCGACUCCCCGAGAUGCAGGCACAGGGCGGAUGGAGGAUGCAGCGAUACCGCCCAGGGAUGCACGGCAGGAUGAAGCCAAGGGGAUGUCAGACUUGUAAGAGAAGAGCCUCGUUCCCUGAGCACUGCCUGGGUGAGAUCUAUCAACCAGGAACACCUGUUUGGACUAGAUAGCACAGGCAAGAUUAAAACUUGGUUUGUAAUAAA